CUGCGGGGACGACCCUGUAGUCUCAAAAGCAAACGGGGACGACCUCA
rnacentral:ncRNA from 1 species